ensembl:lncRNA
AUUUCCCUGGCAAGAAUACUGCAGUGGGUUGCCAUUGCUUACUCCAGCGGAUCUUCCCAACCCAGGGGUUGAAUCCGAGUGUCUUGUGAAUCCUGAAUUUGCUGGCAGAUGCUUUACCACCAGCGCCACUGAAAGUGGAGCUUGCUGGAAUCAUGGUUCAGUGUGCCUGGGAAGAAGAUAGAGCCACAGCCCUCCCUGCUGAAAAGCUAUCAGUGGCCGGUGGGUGGUACCUGGUGGCUGGAUCUGAGUUGUCAAGAUAGAAUGUCACCAUCCGGAGAGACCAGAGGGCUCCAAAAGCCCUGGAACAGUCCUGAUUCUUGUCAGACUGUGGAAAAAGAGCAUAAAUUGGGAAACGAGGAUUGUCUAUAUUCAUUUGCUGACAGAAGCUGCCUUUGAACUUCAGGAAAGCCACCAUCUUGUUUUUGUUCACUUCCCUAAAGCUUAGUGUCUGCCACAUGAAACAUAAGGUCUUCAGAAGCAGGGAUGUGUUUUCCUUUGACUUCAAUGGACCUUUCGACAGCUUCUGGGUUUUCUAUUCCUUCUCACUUAAAGGCUGGAUUACAGUUGACCUGAUCACAUUGGAUCUUCCGUCAGUCUUGUCAAGUAACUAAGCUGGUCAAAUGACAGAAUGAACCCCUAUAAAUUGUUCAGAAGGAAAAAAUGCAAUUCUUUAUAAAUUGGAAGG